UGGGGAAUAUUGCACAAUGGGCGCAAGCCUGAUGCAGCCAUGCCGCGUGUGUGAAGAAGGCCUUCGGGUUGUAAAGCACUUUCAGCGAGGAGGAAGGUGGUGGACUUAAUACGUUCAUCAAUUGACGUUACUCGCAGAAGAAGCACCGGCUAACUCCGUGCCAGCAGCCGCGGUAAUACGGAGGGUGCAAGUGUUAAUCGGAAUUACUGGGCGUAAAGCGCACGCAGGCGGUUUGUUAAGUCAGAUGUGAAAUCCCCGGGCUCAACCUGGGAACUGCAUUUGAAACUGGCAAGCUAGAGUCUCGUAGAGGGGGGUAGAAUUCCAGGUGUAGCGGUGAAAUGCGUAGAGAUCUGGAGGAAUACCGGUGGCGAAGGCGGCCCCCUGGACGAAGACUGACGCUCAGGUGCGAAAGCGUGGGGCAGCAAACAGGAUUAGAUACCCUGGUAGUCCACGCUGUAAACGAUGUCGAUUUUGGAGGUUGUGCCCUUGAGGCGUGGCUUCCGGAGCUAACGCGUUAAAUCGACCGCCUGGGGAGUACGGCC
rnacentral:rRNA from 1 species